ACAAUCCGACAGGGGAGCGCACCACAGCGCUGAGAGUGCGGCACGGCCGCAGACCCUCGGACCUGAUCCGGGUCAUACCGGCGUAGGGAGUCAGUCUCAUCAUGAA
rnacentral:ncRNA from 2 species